CAGAACUUCCCUAGCCAGCAACCCCUACUUCACACCUAACUGAGCGAGCUCCCCGGUUGUGGCCCGGGAUGACAAUACCCGCGUAGCACUGAGCAGUGUCUGUGUUACACACUGAGAUGGUGGGCAGGUUAACAUAAGGUGCCCCUGUGCGAAGCUGGCGGUCAGCCGUGGGAUCAGUACUCCCGGAAGACACGACUCCCGGAAGACACGGCUGCCGGAGCUGCCUGGAUCCCAUCAGGGAAGCUUCCAGGAGUGCUGUGGCCAACAGUAGUAGUGGCUCCAAUGACAGCAGCAGUGAACUUCAGCACAACUCACUGGCCAGUAUUCUGGAGGAUGUGACACUGAUGUCAGCCAGAUUUUCAGUGGAGACAAUGGCACAAGAUGCCAACAGAAGCUUCUCCCAGGUUCUCUUCAGAUAUUUGAGCAUAUUUCCAGACCUCUUCAGGGAGAGGGCGUUUGACUCUGCUGAUGGGAACUUUGGCAGUUCUGUUUCUGAAGGCUGCAAAAAUGACGCGUGCUGGAUUCAGAAUAGGCAGAAGGUAAGCGGCCACGAGUGACCUUGGAAACCUGAAGAGCCACUAAAGUCCUCUGAAACUUCUGUGUACAAGUUUAUGCCUCUGUGUACAGACUGGACCCCAGCCCGUUCACUGCGUGAGAGUGAGCAGAUUGGUGAAGCGUCUGCGAGCCGAUCAGUGAUUUCAGCUAAUCAGGGAACAGUUUGCAACAACCCCAUCCUUCUAACUUCCUGGCCUCUCCUGCUGUCGUGUAGACAGUUUUUGCUGCAGAUAAGGUGGACAUUAGGCAGUACAUCAAAUGUGUCUUCUUGGAUGCCAUUUCCAGCUGGGCUCUGCUGCUUAUUCUCAGUCUGCCCAAGCCUCCUGCCUCCAGUCCAUCCUCCACCUCUCUUUGCUGCUCUGGGACUGUGUAAACCACACUCCACUUGUCCUCUGGCUCUUGGCUGAGUUUUGCUAGUAAGAAGCACUGUUUCUCAGAAACAUAUCCAAGCCUCAGUUUCUUCAUCUGUAAAAUGGAGACAAUACCAGUACCUACUUCAAGGACUGCUGAGAUGAUUUAAUAAACUAGUGAACGACUGGCACUAUAAAUAUGCUAAAGAAAGUUCUUCAGAAAUGACACUAAAGGGAAAAGAGAUCUACAGGAAGAAAUGAAUGGAACUGGAUAUGGUAAAUGCAUGGGUUCCCAUUAUUGUCUUGUGCUGAGCAGUGGAUCACAUUACCCCACAGGUUAUGAAAAGGCCACGCUGACUAACUGAGAAUUCAUAUCAAUGGUUCCUUCUGCUACUUGGAAGUAUUUGCAUGACCCACGGGGUUGAGGGGUGCUUGCCCCGGCUGUAGCCUUUCCUGAUAGUUUUCUAUGGGAAAAAUAAAUAUUUCUUUCUUUUUUUUUUUUUUGCUUGCUAUUACCAAUUUGAAAAUAAAUACUUCUUGAUCAUAUUUAAACCACUAUGCAAAUAUCGCUUUAAGACAAAUUUCACAGCUCUUCUUCCUACCACAUUUCCCCCAGCCCAGAAACUCAUUUAAAGAAAUGCUAUAGCUGUUCCUACUGGGUGACAAUAAUUAAAUGGGGAAACAAGAUGUUAAUGACAAUGCAAGAGGAAAGCAGCACUUCUAUGUUCCAUGGUUUAUGCUAAGUCCUUUCACGUGAAAUAGUAACAGUAACACCAAUACUUGAACAAACUUACUGGAAUCCAGCAUUAUUUCAAGCACUUUCUGUAUAUCAACUCCUUACCUCAUAGCUAUUGUUAUCUCCGUUGCACAGAUAAAGAAACUGAGUGAAGUACGUUGCCUGGCUCAGGUUCUAUUCUCUCAACUACUAUCUUGGACUGCCUCUCAGAAUGUUAUUGGAUCUUAUUGGCCACUUAAGAUAAUUUUUUGAUAAAGGUAUUAUUAUUCCCAUUUACAGAUUGUUAAACUGAGGCUGAGGGAGACUGAAUGGUUUGGUUAGGUUUAUAACUUGUAAGUUGGACCUAAGAUCAUCUGAGUCAAAAGCCUGUGCUCACUCUUUUAGAUAGAAGUAAACAGAAUAAUUACUUCCAUAAACUAGCUUAGCAACAAUAUAUUAUUGUCUCCUUAGUUUGUACUUUACGUGUAACAGAAUUUUAAAAUAUUAUAAAUUAGAAAACUCUAAAACAUAUAGGUGUGUAUUAAAUUGUAUUUAUCAACGUGAUUCAUUAGAGAGAAUCGGUGGUUUGUUUUCGUUCAGCUCAGUGUAACCAGUGUGGGACUAUAAUCACUGUACUUGCUUUGUUUUUUCUGAAGUAAACAAAUUAAUAAUAUGAUGCACUUUUUGGUGCCAUAUAUAGCUUUUCAGUGGCAAAUUAGUUUAAAAAUUCAAUAUAUGAGAAAAAUGGAAUCUAAAAAUAGUUUAUUUUUACACAAAGAGAAAACAAAAUUCCUCCCGGCAUAAUGACUUCUCAGAGAAAAAUAUCCUAUAAUUACUUCGAUGGAAGCAUUCGCCCUUGGAAAUAAACUCAAAUGGGAAAAAUGUAGAAGUAGUUGGAGUUGUAUAACCACAUUAGAUAGAAUGGAAGUCAAAUUUGAAGGGUCAUUUACAGGCUUUAACACUUGGUGGCCUUGGCUCUGCCAAAUGCAUCCACACUCAGGAGAUUCAGUCCUCCCAGAUGUUCAAGACAUGCUGAUUGCUAUAUUGAUCAUUUAAUGCUGUCUAUUCAUAUGAUUUAUAUUACCCUAUGAAAUACAAUGUUGGGUAUAUUUAUAUUUAAAGUCUACAAUCUUUGUU
ensembl:lncRNA